rnacentral:piRNA from 1 species
CCGGCCGAGAAUAAGGCCCAUGGUUCC